GCGUGAGUGAUGACGGCCUUAGGGUUGUAAAGCUCUUUCAGUGGUGAAGAUAAUGACGGUAACCACAGAAGAAGCCCCGGCUAACUUCGUGCCAGCAGCCGCGGUAAUACGAAGGGGGCUAGCGUUGUUCGGAAUUACUGGGCGUAAAGCGCACGUAGGCGGAUUGCUAAGUCAGGGGUGAAAUCCCAGAGCUCAACUCUGGAACUGCCUUUGAUACUGGCAAUCUCGAGUCCGGAAGAGGUGAGUGGAACUCCUAGUGUAGAGGUGGAAUUCGU
rnacentral:rRNA from 1 species